GACGAACGCUGGCUGCGUGCCUAAUACAUGCAAGUAGAACGCUGAAGAGAGGAGCUUGCUCUUCUUGGAUGAGUUGCGAACGGGUGAGUAACGCGUAGGUAACCUGCCUUGUAGCGGGGGAUAACUAUUGGAAACGAUAGCUAAUACCGCAUAACAAUGGAUGACACAUGUCAUUUAUUUGAAAGGGGCAAUUGCUCCACUACAAGAUGGACCUGCGUUGUAUUAGCUAGUAGGUGAGGUAAUGGCUCACCUAGGCGACGAUACAUAGCCGACCUGAGAGGGUGAUCGGCCACACUGGGACUGAGACACGGCCCAGACUCCUACGGGAGGCAGCAGUAGGGAAUCUUCGGCAAUGGGGGCAACCCUGACCGAGCAACGCCGCGUGAGUGAAGAAGGUUUUCGGAUCGUAAAGCUCUGUUGUAAGUCAAGAACGGGUGUGAGAGUGGAAAGUUCACACUGUGACGGUAGCUUACCAGAAAGGGACGGCUAACUACGUGCCAGCAGCCGCGGUAAUACGUAGGUCCCGAGCGUUGUCCGGAUUUAUUGGGCGUAAAGCGAGCGCAGGCGGUUUGAUAAGUCUGAAGUUAAAGGCUGUGGCUCAACCAUAGUUCGCUUUGGAAACUGUCAAACUUGAGUGCAGAAGGGGAGAGUGGAAUUCCAUGUGUAGCGGUGAAAUGCGUAGAUAUAUGGAGGAACACCGGUGGCGAAAGCGGCUCUCUGGUCUGUAACUGACGCUGAGGCUCGAAAGCGUGGGGAGCGAACAGGAUUAGAUACCCUGGUAGUCCACGCCGUAAACGAUGAGUGCUAGGUGUUGGAUCCUUUCCGGGAUUCAGUGCCGCAGCUAACGCAUUAAGCACUCCGCCUGGGGAGUACGACCGCAAGGUUGAAACUCAAAGGAAUUGACGGGGGCCCGCACAAGCGGUGGAGCAUGUGGUUUAAUUCGAAGCAACGCGAAGAACCUUACCAGGUCUUGACAUCCCGAUGCUAUUUCUAGAGAUAGAAAGUUACUUCGGUACAUCGGUGACAGGUGGUGCAUGGUUGUCGUCAGCUCGUGUCGUGAGAUGUUGGGUUAAGUCCCGCAACGAGCGCAACCCCUAUUGUUAGUUGCCAUCAUUCAGUUGGGCACUCUAGCGAGACUGCCGGUAAUAAACCGGAGGAAGGUGGGGAUGGCGUCAAAUCAUCAUGCCCCUUAUGACCUGGGCUACGCACGUGCUACAAUGGUUGGUACAACGAGUUGCGAGUCGGUGACGGCGAGCUAAUCUCUUAAAACCAAUCUCAGUUCGGAUUGUAGGCUGCAACUCGCCUACAUGAAGUCGGAAUCGCUAGUAAUCGCGGAUCAGCACGCCGCGGUGAAUACGUUCCCGGGCCU
rnacentral:rRNA from 1 species